CCUACGGGAGGCAGCAGUGGGGGAUAUUGCACAAUGGGGGGAACCCUGAUGCAGCGACGCCGCGUGGGUGAAGAAGCGCCUCGGCGCGUAAAGCCCUGUCAGCAGGGAAGAAAAUGACGGUACCUGAAGAAGAAGCCCCGGCUAACUACGUGCCAGCAGCCGCGGUAAUACGUAGGGGGGAAGCGUUAUCCGGAUUUCCUGGGUGUAAAGGGGGCGCAGACGGCGAUGCAAGCCAGGAGUGACAGCCCUGGGCCCAACCCCGGGACUGCUCUUGGAACAGCGUGGCUGGGGUGCAGGAGGGGCAGGCGGAAUUCCUGGUGUAGCGGUGAAAUGCGUAGAUAUCAGGAGGAACACCGGUGGCGAAGGCGGCCUGCUGGAAUGCAACUGACGUUGAGGCCCGAAAGCGUGGGGAGCAAACAGGAUUAGAUACCCGGGUAGUC
rnacentral:rRNA from 1 species